GAACUUAAGCGAAUAAGCGUACACGGAGGAUGCACUGGCAGUCAGAGGCGACUCACAGGGCGCUAGGAUGCGCUAAGUGCCGGUAAGUAGAUAUGGACCGUUAUAAACGGCGAUACCCGAAUGGGGAAACCCAGUGUGACUCGUCACACUAUCAUUAACUGAAUCCAUAGGUUAAUGAGGCGAACCGGGGGAACUGAAACAUCUAAGUACCCCGAGGAAAAGAAAUCAACCGAGAUACCCCCAGUAGCGGCGAGCGAACGGGGAGGAGCCCAGAGCCUGAAUCAGCAUGUGUGUUAGUGGAAGCGUCUGGAAAGGCGCGCGAUACAGGGUGACAGCCCCGUACACAAAAGCGCAUGUGCUGUGAGCUCGAUGAGUAGGGCGGGACACGUGGUAUCCUGUCUGAAUAUGGGGGGACCAUCCUCCAAGGCUAAAUACUCCUGACUGACCGAUAGUGAACCAGUACCGUGAGGGAAAGGCGAAAAGAACCCCGGCGAGGGGAGUGAAAAAGAACCUGAAACCGUGUACGUACAAGCAGUGGGAGCCCCACCACUAAGCCAGUGGUGAACUCCACAUACGCAUCCUUUGCUGAGGAUACGGUUAACGGAGCGAAAGCGACGUUCAACCUCAAAAGAAGCAGAGGGGGC
rnacentral:rRNA from 1 species